GUCCAGGAAUGGGAAACGAACCCACAGUGUUCCACUUAGGCAGAUGCCAAAACCAUUAGGCUACCCUGGA